AAGGACAAAAAAUUUGAAGGAUAUUAAUGUAGGAUUACUCCAGUGUAAUAAAAUUUUCGAUUGCUUACGUUAACGCAUAACUAGUGAAGAUAUCCGCGCAUUGCGGCGGAUCGAUUUCGUAGAAAAUAAAAAAAUAAAAGUCAAAGAGUAAAAAAAAUACAAAUAAAAAAAACUUAAGAAGAAACAACGAUAGCUACAAUAAAAACAUAAGUAUAAAAGUACAAGAAGAAUCAAAAAAGAAUAAAAAAAAAUUUAAUUAUAAUAAUAAUAAAUUUUUAUUUAUAAUAGUACGUAGUAAAAGUUGAGAAUUAAAAUAUUAUAUGCCUUAUAGUUGAAGUCAGAAAUUACAAUUAAUUAAAGUUUGAGGAUUAAACCAUCACGUGCCUCAUAAUUUGAGCAAGAAAAUAUAACACAUUAAAAGAUAAUGACUAAAAUGUCACACGUCUUAUAGUUUAGAAUCAAAAGUAUAAUUUAUCUUUCUUAUAUUUUAAUUCUAUUUCAGACGAACGCAAAGUUCUAUACGAUAUGUUAAACUAUCUAAUAAAUUUUUGAAUGUCUAAUUGUUAAAAUUAAAAGUCGAUCAAUUAUUUUUUAGAUAUUUCAAAAGAUUUUAAAUGUAAAAUUGAUCGUUCAUCAAACUAUAAAUAUGGCAUUGAAGUUUGAUAUGAAAAUCAAAGUAAAAAUAUAUAGAACUUUUUAGAACUAUAAACCAUUUUAAAUUAUGUAGUGACCUUGGAAUUCAGCAUUUGAGAUUUGUCGACAGCUCUGGAGAGUGUCGGGACGAGUUCGAGUCCUGUUGGCGUGAAAUAGGCGCAAACUGGACUCAGCGGGACGCGAGAGCAAAGAGUUAGCAUUGCAAUCUGCAAAUUACAGAUUUUCA
rnacentral:lncRNA from 1 species